UUUUAUCCUUGCAAGCAAUUCACUUUAGUGUGUUUUGUGUGGUGGUCCCUUUGAAACAUCACUAUAUCCACUCUAUGGGGAUGAGUUUGCCUUAGAGAUUUGGCAUUGCGUGUCUCAUUGGAUGAAUAUGAUCUUGGUUCACUCAUAAGUAUUUUUGAAGGUCAGGGCCGUUAGGGAUGACAAUGAACAAAGUUUGGACAAGAAACUAUAGUAUCCGUCCCCUUACUCAUAGUUUAAAAAAAUUCUUGUACUCGAGUCUAUAUUCGUGUGCACCAACUUUUAUACUCGAACCCGUAUCCUACGCGUGCUUAAGUAAUUAAUUUCAAACUGUUUUUUGUGUUACUGAUCUAACACAAGAAACAACCUAGGGAGGACACCAGACAUGCAAAGAAGAGACUUGAUUGCCAUACACCUAAUUGCAAGAAAUUUUUCCAUAAACUCAAGCUUCCACCGAUUUCGCCUUACUUAUGUUUCCAAAAGAGGAACCAAGUUAUAAAGUAGUUUGAGGUAUCUUACCCUCCGACCACCAUCCAUUUUAUAUUUACAAACAUUGGAUUACCUGGCCCAAUGAAAUUUCUUUUCUCCUUUCAUACCUUUCUAUAAGAAACACGACUAACAAGUCACCUUGCUCAAGCCCCCUUUCUAUAUUAACCUCUUCAAUUGGGCACCAUUGACCAACAAAGAUAGACUAAGAGGGAAAACACAUGCAUGAAUCCAAGCAUGCCAUUUGUCAUUAAACCACCAAACCUCUCUAAUAUUUAGUCCACAAUGCCUCGACUCACUUACUCUUCUCAAAGUUCACCUUAAAAACAUGACAUUUCUUUAUAGUUGAUUGUGCUCGAUAAUGUUUAAUACAAGAUAACCCCGUCUUCCUCUCCCCAUUUUGGGUAAUUGUCAUUCAAUAUCUAUAUUCUCUCCUCCCCUCACCAACUUACCUUCUACCUAACUAUUGCAUAUUAGCUCUCUUACUCUACCAUUCUUAAAAGGAGACUUAAAGACAAUCAACCAUUUCUGAACGCUAACCACUUUUUCGGAGAAGAUAGUUUUGUUUCGAAACUUC
rnacentral:lncRNA from 1 species